GUGUCUGGUGAAGAUACGUUUUGAAGUCAGGGUUUUGGAUGUGUAGACAUAGCCUUCAUGUCCGCAGCCGCUCACAGCUCCCUUUUGGUGUUGCUCAGCUCGCGUUCGCGCAGCAUCAGGCCGAGGUUGCCAAGCUGGAGCCGUUGAACAAUGUAUGUGCUGAGAAGAUGGACUGGAUUGGAAGCCUCUGGGAAUUGUUGAGAAGUUCAUGGACCUAUAAGGAUGACCCAUGCCAAAAAUACUACGAGCUCUUAUUAGUCAACCCUAUUUGGUUGGUCCCACCAACAAAGAGCGACACAGCGAGAGAGGGAACACAAGCAGGGGGAGUG